GGUAGACGCUCUCUUUCAGUUGCUGGAAACGACGGAGGCUUGGUGGCGUUGGGUCGAAGGCUCUAUGGCACGAGCUUCUUUCUGAAGAAGGGGUCGUCGGAGAAAAACAGACACGAAUGUUGGCGUCCCUGUCGACGUCGUCGUCGUCCUCCGUACUGGCAUUGUCAUCUUCUUGGUUGCCCACACGCCAAUUUCGUCUCUCCCAUUCCUCCUCCUCCUAUGCAGAUGCUGCCUCCGUCCAUUGAGAUGAUAAGUUUGAGCAUCACCCAUCAACAAGCCCUUUAUUCUUGCCUAGUGUUUAAAAUUUGUUGCCCUUACUGUUGGGACGAUUUGUUGCCCUUGAUUCCAGGCAACGAACAUUCCAGUUCCGGAUCCUUUUUCCUCGCCGCCGUCAAACGUCGUUCGGCUUUGCUGGUUGCCAUUAGCCUUUGGGUCUAGGGAGGGCCCCCCAUUACAAAUCUGGCAGUUCUAGAGAAGCAUGUGGUGGCCGGUAAUGCAGAACUCAGCAAGAUUGACUGUUCCCCGAGGGCCGAGUAUAGCAUGUAGCAAUGCAAAGGCUAUUGAGUGGGAUGCUGCAUGGUUGAAUAACGUUGAUCCUUUUGGUAGGGCUGCAGUCAGGGUUCACCUUUCACCUUUUGACAAGCAUGUGACGGCCAGUAAUGCCGGAAUGAUGCAUUCGGAAAUUGGAGGGGGCGCAAAGAGUAUGAUGGAAUUUAAUGCUCCGGGACUGGCAAUCCAGAACUAGAAUUUGCUUUUCUAUGGAUGGUAGUACUACGCCACCUUCAUUUUGCAAGCUUUACUAGUCAACUCAUGUCAACAUUAUGUAAAUAGUUGUGUUCUAGUGAUUUUUCCUAUAUAUAUGUGCUUGUGUGGUUAUUGUUAAGCAAAAUUAAGAGAAGAAACUAGAUCCAGCUUGUAAA